rnacentral:rRNA from 1 species
UUGAUUAUAAUUUAAAGUCUGACCUGCCCUAUGAAUAAUUUGUUUUUAAAUGGCUGCGGUACUUUGACCGUGCAAAGGUAGCAUAAUAAUUAGUUUUUUAAUUGGGAACUGGUAUGAAAGGUCGAACGAGAAAAAGACUGUCUCAAUUUAAUUUAAAUUAGAAUUUUAUUUUUAAGUUAAAAAGCUUAAAUGAGUUUAAAAGACGAGAAGACCCUAUAGAGUUUUAUAUAAUUUAAUAUUUUUGAAAGUUAAAGAAUUUUAGAUUUGAUUAUUUUAAAUUAUAUUUGGUUGGGGCAAUUAAAAAAUUAAAGAAAUUUUUUUUAAAUUAUUACAUUGAUAUAUGAUUAAGUGAUCCAUAUUUUAUGAUUAAAAGAUUAAAUUACCUUAGGGAUAACAGCGUAAUUUUUUUUAGAGUUCUUAUCGAAAAAAAAGUUUGCGACC